rnacentral:rRNA from 1 species
UCUGGUGAUUAAAUAUAGGGGCAACACCUCUAACCAUUCCGAACAGAGAAGUUAAGACCUAUAUACCCGAUGGUACUGCAUGAGAAGUUGUGCGGGAGAGUAGGAUUUACCGGAA